CCGGAUUUACUGGGCGUAAAGCGCGUGUAGGUGGUACUGUAAGUAGGGCGUGAAAGCUCCUGGCUCAACUGGGAGAGGCCGUUCUAAACUACAGGACUAGAGGAUGGUAGAGGGAGGUGGAAUUCCAGGUGUAGCGGUGGAAUGCGCAGAUAUCUGGAGGAACACCGGUGGCGAAGGCGGCCUCCUGGACCAUUCCUGACACUCAGACGCGAAAGCUAGGGUAGCAAACGGGAUUAGAGACCCCGGUAGUCCUAGCCCUAAACGAUGUAGACUAGGCGUCGGAAGUUUAAUCACUUUCGGUGUCCAAGCUAACGCGAUAAGUCCACCGCCUGGGGACUACGGCCGCAAGGUUAAAACUCAAAGGAAUUGACGGGUCCCCGCACAAGCAGCGGAGCGUGUGGUUUAAUUCGUUGCUACACGAAGAACCUUACCUGGGUUUGACAUAGCAGUGGUAGGGAAGCGAAAGCGGACCGACCCUUCGGGGAGCUGUUACAGGUGUUGCAUGGCUGUCGUCAGCUCGUGUCGUGAGAUGUUCGGUUAAGUCCGCUAACGAGCGCAACCCGCGUUGUGUGUUACAAGUGUCACACAAUACCGCCGGUAUUAAGUCGGAGGAAGGUGCGGAUGACGUCAAGUCAGCAUGACCUUUAUAUCCAGGGCUACACACACGCUACAAUGGUCAGAACAAUAGGUUGCCAAGUCGUGAGACGGAGCCAAUCCUCCAAAUCUGGCCUCAGUUCAGAUUGCAGGCUGCAACUCGCCUGCAUGAAGUUGGAGUUGCUAGUAACCGCAGGUCAGC
rnacentral:rRNA from 1 species